rnacentral:rRNA from 1 species
CCCUUAGAUGUUCUGGGCCGCACGCGCGCUACACUGAUGCAUUCAACGAGCCUAUCCUUGACCGACAGGUCCGGGUAAUCUUUGAAUCUGCAUCGUGACGGGGAUAGAUUAUUGCAAUUAUUAAUCUUCAACGAGGAAUGCCUAGUAGGCGCAAGUCAUCAGCUUGCGUCGAUUACGUCCCUGCCAUUUGUACACACCGCCCGUCGCUCCUACCGAUUGGGUGUGCUGGUGAAAUGUUCGGAUCGGCCGUUUGUCGCGGUUUCCGCGUCAUGUGGCUGAGAAGUUCAUUAAACCCUCCCACCUAGAGGAAGGAGAAGUCGUAACA